GUCCACGCCGUAAACGAUGGAUACUAGCUGUUGGGAGCAAUCUCAGUGGCUAAGCGAAGUGAUAAGUAUCCCACCUGGGAGUACGUUCGCAAGAAUGAAACUCAAAGGAAUUGACGGGGCCCGCACAAGCGGUGGAGCAUGUGGUUUAAUUCGAUGAUACGCGAGGAACCUUACCAAGGCUUAAAUGUAGAUUGACCGGUUUGGAAACAGAUCUUUCGCAAGACAAUUUACAAGGUGCUGCAUGGUUGUCGU
rnacentral:rRNA from 1 species